UACGAGGGGGAGCUAGCGUUGUUCGGAAUUACUGGGCGUAAAGCGCACGUAGGCGGCUUUGUAAGUUAGAGGUGAAAGCCCAGGGCUUAACCCUGGAAUUGCCUUUAAGACUGCAUCGCUAGAAUCGUGGAGAGGUGAGUGGAAUUCCGAGUGUAGAGGUGAAAUUCGUAGAUAUUCGGAAGAACACCAGUGGCGAAGGCGACUCACUGGACACGUAUUGACGCUGAGGUGCGAAAGCGUGGGGAGCAAACAGG
rnacentral:rRNA from 1 species